rnacentral:lncRNA from 1 species
UAAAUCCAAACACCAAGAGUAAAGAGAAUCUUCAUCAUAAUUUCACUUAUGUGGGAAGCACAUGUAACUGUGUUGCACACUAAUCUGCUCUUGAUAGAUUUACAUCACUUCCAGUGUCUGUCGCCAUAUCCAUUUCACCUCUAACCUGGCAGGUCUCCACGGUAUGCAUCAGUCACUACCCCAACACACUUAGGGAAGUGUACUCUGUUCUCUCAUUUGUUGGAGGAAAUUAGGAUUAGCCUAAAUAAACCCUUGGGAUGUCUUCAUUCCCUUUCUGAGCACCUUUUGCAUGGCCCUGAUGCAAUAUUGGCCCAGAGAACAUCAAGAGUUCAUCUGGCAGCUUGCAGAGAAGGACCUCCAUUUUCAGGGACAUGUUGUUCUGAAGAUACUAGUGAUGAAUUUUUCUAGCUUCCGAGUCACCAAUUAAGAAUUGCCAGCCACUGCUGGCAGAUCUGCCUGACCAUUGCUGUGGUUUCUACAAUAACAAAUACUUGACUGUUUAAGUCCUCCUUAAUCUUGGACAUUCCAUUUACCAUGUCAUCUGCUUUAUAAACAGAAUUGGGCUAUACAAGCAUGAAGAUGUGUGCAGCUUUCAUGGGUGUAUCAAAUUUUCUGUGCUUCAGAGUAGAUAAUACAGAGGCAGAAAUUGGCUUACUAUUUUUUGCCAAAUUUGCAUUUCUGCCCAUAGCCUCCUGUGAAAGGCUGCAGGACUUUCUUGUCCUCAUUUCAGGCCUGGAUGCUAUGAUGAGUUUUAGGAGACUUAGAUCCCACUGAGGAGGGGUCAGCUGUGACAACAUAACUGCUUCUGGGAGCAGCAUAAAUAUUUUCCUUUUCCACAAGGGAUGUCAUUAGGGCUGAGGGGAAUUUCUUCCCCAGGUCCUACCAAGAGUGAGGCAGGCAAAAAAGAAUAAAUAUAGAAAAAAGGAGAGUCUCAUCCACAAAUGUAUUUGUGACCCAGGCCACAUUCCUAUUGACUCAGGUGGAAAGUCAUUCAUUGCACAAUCUAUUUGCUGUCUUGAGGUAAAACUGAUCCACAAAGGGCCUGAGAAAGUGGAAUGAAUAUAGAAUUGCCAAACCUACUUUCCAGAAAGUUGGACAUAGAGGUUUGUUUUUUGUUGUUGUUGAUUUUAAUCGUGAGCCAUUUCAAAAGCU